AUGUUGUGUGAAAGGAGAGAAGGUUAGUAUGCCCCUUGACAAGGACGGAAGAGGGCCCUGGCCCUAACAAUAUGCAUACAGUUAAGGAACUGCCACCCACCUCGUGGCAUCUAACCACUGUUUUUC